rnacentral:lncRNA from 1 species
AGUGGAUGGGCUUGUUAAAACAGGUUUCUGGGUCUCACUCUGACAGUUUCUGAUUCUGUAAGUCUGGGACGGGGCCAGAGAGUUUGAAUUUCUACAAGUUCCCUGGUGUGAUAGGCAGCUUUCCAAAGCUAUCCCAGCAGGAACCCCAUCCCCUGGUUAGUCACUGAAACACCAUCCAGGAACUGCUGGGAAGGGACUAGCAGGUGGGGUUCAGGCUCCUAACGGACUGACUGUGAAGGAGGGAGAUGCUCCUGGCUUAUCUGGGUGGGUCCAGGGUAGUCACCUGAGCCCUAAAAGCAGAGAGAGGUCAGACAAAGGUGGAGCAUGAGGAAGGUUCCCUCUGCCCUUGCUGGCUUUGGAGACGGAGGAAGGAGCUGGAGCCAAUGAUGCGGUUGGCCUCUGGAAACCAAGAACAGCCCCAAACAGCUCAUGGAACCCAGGGCCUUGAGACUGCACGCAACUGAUUUCUGACAACAGCCUGAAGGAGCUUGAAAGAGAUUCAUCCGCAGAGCUUCUGGAGAGGGCUGCAGCCCUGAGCCAGGUCUCCUGGACGCUCAGCAGAGAGGCAUCUGAGCCGCGCUGUGCUGGGCUUCUGACCUACAGAAACUGUGAGAGGAUGCAUUUGCGUUGUUCUGAUCAUUGAAUUUCUGGUGAUUCGUUACGGCAGCAAUAGAAAGUUAAUACUCGUGGUAUACUGAUGCUGCUGGACCACAAUGUGAGAAUCGCUGGCUUGUCUGGUAUGUGCAAACUGACGUGCAGUCAGCAAAGACGGAGGUGAGAUACGGACCUGGGUGGAACGACUCUAGGCGGGACCUAAGCUCUUGUUUGCUGUUGACUUCACGAAGAGGGAGGACGGCAGCGCUGUCUCCCGCAGAGAGGAAAGGCCUUGUGAGGACUCUUGAGGACAGCUCCUGCCAGGAACCGGCCCAGCUCCCCCGGGUCCUGGACCUCCAGCCUCCAGAACUAUGAUAAAACUGAGUAACCAGCUUGCACAUCUGAUGGACGGCAGAGCUGGGCUGGUCCCCGUGUCUUCAGUCUCUUCUAGUUCUUCCUGGACAUCUUGGGAUAAGGAGGAUGUUGGUCAAGAGAGGAUGUAGAUUUGUUGGAAUCAUCAGAGGAGACUGAGAAUCUCCAAGUACCGAAGUGGAGGACGACGGUGCGAGCCAGAGAGCUUAGACGACAGACAGACGUGUGGUUCCCCUGGUCUGGGAGCUGCACAGCACCAGGCUGUCUGGAGGCCGUGACAGGGGAGGAAGGGACCCUGGUGGCCCAAGAGUGGAAGCGCCCGCCAUGCUGCAGAAGACUUCUCCUUUCUGGCCUGUUGUGCAGUGUCUUCAUUCUCAAUAAAUACACAAUUUGACCUUACACGUGA